AGGGGUCUUUGCUUAGGCCAUUUUGAGGCCGACUUUCUCCCAGUGGAUUGUAAUUAUAACCUUUUCACUCACACUUCUGGAUCUGUAACUAUUUGCCUACGGGCACACUACUUUGGAGUCACUGCGAGUGCGCGUGACAUGGGAGUGCAGCUGAGGCUGUACAUGUGUAUAUAUUUGUGUGUUGGUUAGUUUAGUGGUUGGGUUUUGUCUUUAUUUUCUAUUGCUUGAUUUAAAAGGUAUCAAACGAAAAAAAAUUACCUGUUUUCAGCGU
rnacentral:lncRNA from 1 species